rnacentral:rRNA from 1 species
UACGUAGGGUGCAAGCGUUGUCCGGAAUUAUUGGGCGUAAAGAGCUCGUAGGCGGUUUGUCGCGUCUGCUGUGAAAAUCCGAGGCUCAACCUCGGACCUGCAGUGGGUACGGGCAAACUAGAGUGCGGUAGGGGAGAUUGGAAUUCCUGGUGUAGCGGUGGAAUGCGCAGAUAUCAGGAGGAACACCAAUGGCGAAGGCAGAUCUCUGGGCCGUAACUGACGCUGAGGAGCGAAAGCGUGGGGAGCGAACAGGAUUAGAUACCCUGGUAGUCCACGCCGUAAACGGUGGGAACUAGAUGUGGGGUCCGUUCCACGGAUUCCGUGUCGCAGCUAACGCAUUAAGUUCCCCGCCUGGGGAGUACGGCCGCAAGGCUAAAACUCAAAGGAAUUGACGGGGGCCCGCACAAGCGGCGGAGCAUGCGGAUUAAUUCGAUGCAACGCGAAGAACCUUACCAAGGCUUGACAUAUAGAGGAAAAGUGUAGAAAUACACUCCCCGCAAGGUCUCUAUACAGGUGGUGCAUGGUUGUCGUCAGCUCGUGUCGUGAGAUGUUGGGUUAAGUCCCGCAACGAGCGCAACCCUCGUCCUAUGUUGCCAGCACGUAAAGGUGGGAACUCAUGGGAUACUGCCGGGGUCAACUCGGAGGAAGGUGGGGAUGACGUCAAAUCAUCAUGCCCCUUAUGUCUUGGGCUUCACGCAUGCUGCAAUGGCUGGUACAGAGGGCUGCGAUAUCGCAAGAUGGAGCGAAUCCCAAAAAGCCAGUCUCAGUUCGGAUUGAGGUCUGCAACUCGACCUCAUGAAGUUGGAGUCGCUAGUAAUCGUGAAUCAGCAACGUCACGGUGAAUACGUUCCCGGGCCU